rnacentral:sRNA from 3 species
GGGGGCAAGAGGUUCGACCCGAGCGAAGCGAGAGAACGUUGCGUCAGCAACGGCCCGCAGGGCGAGCCACGCAGUGGCGAGUCAUCCUCUAUCACCGACCA